AGCUCAGUGGUAGAGCACAACCUUGCCAAGGUUGGGGUCGAGGGUUCGAAUCCCUUCGCCCGCU
rnacentral:tRNA from 1 species